rnacentral:rRNA from 1 species
UAACCUGCCCAAGAGAUCGGGAUAACACCUGGAAACAGAUGCUAAUACCGGAUAACAACAGAUGAUGCCUAUCAACUGUUUAAAAGAUGGUUCUGCUAUCACUCUUGGAUGGACCUGCGGUGCAUUAGCUAGUUGGUAGGGUAACGGCCCACCAAGGCGAUGAUGCAUAGCCGAGUUGAGAGACUGAUCGGCCACAUUGGGACUGAGACACGGCCCAAACUCCUACGGGAGGCAGCAGGC